UGGGGAAUAUUGCACAAUGGGCGAAAGCCUGAUGCAGCGACGCCGCGUGAGGGAUGACGGCCUUCGGGUUGUAAACCUCUUUCAGCAGGGACGAAGCGCAAGUGACGGUACCUGCAGAAGAAGCACCGGCUAACUACGUGCCAGCAGCCGCGGUAAUACGUAGGGUGCAAGCGUUGUCCGGAAUUACUGGGCGUAAAGAGUUCGUAGGCGGUUUGUCGCGUCGUUUGUGAAAACCAGCAGCUCAACUGCUGGCUUGCAGGCGAUACGGGCAGACUUGAGUACUGCAGGGGAGACUGGAAGUCCUGGUGUAGCGGUGAAAUGCGCAGAUAUCAGGAGGAACACCGGUGGCGAAGGCGGGUCUCUGGGCAGUAACUGACGCUGAGGAACGAAAGCGUGGGUAGCGAGCAGG
rnacentral:rRNA from 1 species